CCAUAGAUCCGCCACUGCAUCCAAAUACCGGUUCGGUCUGGCAAAGAUGUGCGUGCUGCUAUCCAAACAAAACUCCCUUGCCUGAACUCGGCCAAGCCAGCGGGGGACUGGUUACCAUAAACAAGCCAGAAUCAGUAGAGAAGGAAACCAAUCAGGCCUUUGUGUGUUUCCUUCUUAUUUGCAAUCUGCAAAACCUUAAUUGCGAAUCCUAACAGGCUAAUCCUACAAUUUGAUUUGAAAAGAAGAGCAUCAAUAAAGGUACAAUUGAAAUGCUAACUUGUUUGCUUGGGAAAAAAACUAUUUUCAUAAAAGUUCUGGGCAUACCAGGGGUCGUCUGCAGUGGACUGGAGGGGACAGCACUGCAGAUGGAGAAGCAGAGAAUAUGAGAAAGGAGAGCAGAAUAGGAGGGCUUGGCCGUGGCCAUCAAUUCCAGUGAGGAGUCAAGGAGGUGCGCCACCACUGCGAUGCAUAGCUAUUAAAUAAUAACAUUUUUUUUUUGCAGGGUUCUCUUAUUGAUCUGCAGCUUAUUGACGGAGCAAUAUCAUGCUACGAUCGCCAUAGUGGCUGGCCGCCGAUCAAAAAUCGCAUUUGUGGCAAUUAUGGCGCCGUUGACAUAUCAUUAGGAAUUGUCGAACAAGCGGUGGAGGCAACAAUAGAAGUAGUUAUAUCAGAACGGGGCUCUCAGAAGGUUCGUGGUUGCUGUCUCGUGGCAGACUAUGAUGCUUUUGAAGUUCAAAGUAGGUAGCGAGGGAUGCAUCGACUGUCGACAGAUAAAGUUGCAAGCUAAGAAACAUGGAUGUGCCAGUCAACAGAUUGAACUUAAGGUUGCUGCUAUUUCGGUCAAGGUGACUUGGUCCACUAUUUGACUUCCUGAUGUCUUUCAUCAAUAAGACAAUUACAUACUGCUUUUGUGCUGGAAUUGGGUACUCUUUAGCAUUAAACCUAUUUCAGCGGGUAGUAGGGAUCGCCUCUACAUGUGUUUUUAAAGCUAAGUUUAUAUGCCUAGUAAAAAAAAAAGCUAAGUUUAUAUGCAUCA